rnacentral:tRNA from 1 species
GCCUGUGUGGCAUAGUGGUUCGAGCAUUGAACUGUGACUCUGGAGACCAGGGUUUGAAUCCCAGCUCAGCCA